UACGAGGGGGGGCAAGCGUUGUUCGGAAUUAUUGGGCGUAAAGGGCGCGGUAGGCGGUGCGGUAAGUCACCUGUGAAACCUCUAGGCUUAACCUAGAGCCUGCAGGCGAAACUGCCGUGCUUGAGGGUGGGAGAGGUGCGUGGAAUUCCCGGUGGUAGAGGUGAAAUUCGUAGAUAUCGAGAGGAAUACCUGUGGCGAAGGCGGCCAAC
rnacentral:rRNA from 1 species